GCGGCAAAAGCUCAAAUUUGAAAUCUGGCUCCUUUAGGGGUCCGAGUUGUAAUUUGCAGAGGAUGCUUCGGGAGCGGCCACGGCUUAAGUGCCUUGGAACAGGACGUCAUAGAGGGUGAGAAUCCCGUCUUGAGUCGUUGGUCCGCGCCCAUGUGAAGCUCCUUCGACGAGUCGAGUUGUUUGGGAAUGCAGCUCUAAGCGGGUGGUAAAUUUCAUCUAAAGCUAAAUAUUGGCCGGAGACCGAUAGCGCACAAGUAGAGUGAUCGAAAGGUUAAAAGCACCUUGAAAAGGGAGUUAAACAGCACGUGAAAUUGUUGAAAGGGAAGCGCUUGCGGCCAGACUCGGGUACAGGGUUCAGCGGGUGCGUGUCACCCGUGUACUCCCUGUUUCCCGGGCCAGCAUCAGUUCUGACGGCCGGUCAAAGGCCUCUGGAAUGUGUCGUCUUUCGGGACGUCUUAUAGCCAGAGGUGCAAUGCGGCCUGUUGGGA
rnacentral:rRNA from 1 species